AAAGAAACAUGAUUAAAGAUUUUACCACCAUCAAUCAGUCAGGCCACCACUAGCUAUACCUCAAAUCUGACCUUAUAAAAGCCACCUUCAUAGUUUCCACUUUCCAAGUUCAUACACCUCUAAAGAUAUCACAAGGUACACGAAUAAUGAAGGCGGUGGUGCUUAUAUUUGUAACCAUGUUGCUGUGUUCUAGUUUGGUUGUUCAAGGAAGAGCACAUAAAGAAACUGUGGUCUAUCCUGAUGGCUACAUAGACAACCACCACAACAUCCCAAGACAAAACUAUAAUUCACAAGGUGGUGCUAGUGGAGGCGAUGAUGCUGGUGGUGAUGCUGAUAAUGGAGAUGCUAAUUAAUGUGAAUCUUAAUUAUCUGUGCUUAAAGUAUAUGAGCAGCGGUCAUUAUAUAUUUCUGUUGAACCUUACUAUGUUUUACUAUGCUUAUUGCUUAACUCUGUUAAACAAUGUGUUUAUAUGUGUUGUUUCAUUUAAUUAGUAUGUAUAUAUUUGCAGGUUGUGUACCUUGUUUCAUACUGUUGGAUCUUGUUUCCGCUGUCCA